CUGCAGUGAUGAUUAUUUAGGACACCUUUGAUUGAAACAUGAAGAGAAUCUUAAUAUCUGAGCGAU